AAUAUACUACCUCCGUCCGAAAAUACUUGUUCUAGAUAUGUAUAAAAUAGAUGUAUCUAUAACUAAAAUAAGUCUAGAUACAUCUAUUUCUAAGACAAGUAUUUUCGGACGGAGGGAGUAGCAU
rfam:Hordeum vulgare subsp. vulgare, WGS project CAJW01000000 data, contig: morex_contig_68254